GCAAGUAAGAACAUAACAUUACUACUGUUCAUAUGUGGGAGAUGGAGGAACUGCAUUAAGAGCCCAUCAGAUAGGAAGACUUGGUGUGAGAACCAUAUGGAUGCAAAGAAAUACCCUAGACCCAAGAUGCAAGUUUAUGUAUUGCAAGACAGGAGGCCAAACACUGAAACAGCAUCUGACAAAAAGAUUGAGGCUGAUCUUCUGAUAAGGAUGGAAGAGAAUGAAGGGUG